rnacentral:rRNA from 1 species
UACGUAGGGCGCAAGCGUGGUCCGGAAUUAUUGGGCGUAAAGAGCUCGUAGGUGGUUUGUUACGUCUGCUGUGAAAACCUAGGGCUUAACCCUGGGCCUGCAGUGGAUACGGGCAGACUAGAGGUAGGUAGGGGAGAAUGGAAUUCCCGGUGUAGCGGUGAAAUGCGCAGAUAUCGGGAGGAACACCGGUGGCGAAGGCGGCCUACUGGGCCAGCACUGACGCUGAGGAGCGAAAGCGUGGGGAGCGAACAGG